UACGAGGGGGGCUAGCGUUAUCCGUCUUGAAUGGGCCUAAAGUGUCUGUAGGCUGCUUGUAAAGGUAAAAGUAUUACAACUAGCAGCUAGAGUGGAAUUGGGGAAUCAGGGAACUCCAGGAGUAGGGAUAGAAUCCGGUGAUCCCUGGAAGACCGCUAUGGCGAAGGCCCUAUUCUAAGUAACCACUGACGCUGAGAGACUAGAGUGUGGGAGCGAAGAGG
rnacentral:rRNA from 1 species